AACGAACGCUGGCGGCAGGCUUAACACAUGCAAGUCGAACGCCCCGCAAGGGGAGUGGCAGACGGGUGAGUGACGCGUGGGAAUCUACCUAGUUCUACGGAACAACUGAGGGAAACUUCAGCUAAUACCGUAUACGCCCUACGGGGGAAAGAUUUAUCGGAAUUAGAUGAGCCCGCGUAAGAUUAGCUAGUUGGUGGGGUAAUGGACUACCAAGGCGACGAUCUUUAGCUGGUCUGAGAGGAUGAUCAGCCACACUGGGACUGAGACACGGCCCAGACUCCUACGGGAGGCAGCAGUGGGGAAUAUUGGACAAUGGGCGCAAGCCUGAUCCAGCCAUGCCGCGUGAGUGAUGAAGGCCUUAGGGUUGUAAAGCUCUUUCAGUGGGGAAGAUAAUGACGGUACCCACAGAAGAAGCCCCGGCUAACUUCGUGCCAGCCGCCGCUGUAAGAC
rnacentral:rRNA from 1 species